rnacentral:tRNA from 1 species
ACUUGAACCCUCACGGUCUAUAAAGCCAACGGAUUUUAAGUCCGUAGCGUUC